rnacentral:rRNA from 1 species
GUUAGUAGGUGUUUCUCUUGUUGGUGAGGUAAUGGCUUACCAAGGCGACUAUCAGUAUCUGGUUUGAGAGGAUGAUCAGACACACUGGAACUGAGACACGGUCCAGACUCCUACGGGAGGCAGCAGUGGGGAAUUUUCCGCAAUGGGCGAAAGCCUGACGGAGCAAUCUCGCGUGAGGGAUGACGGCCUAUGGGUUGUAAACCUCUUUUUUCAGGGAGGAAUAAAUUGACGUGUACCUGAAGAAUAAGCAUCGGCUAACUCCGUGCCAGCAGCCGCGGUAAGACGGAGGAUGCAAGUGUUAUCCGGAAUCACUGGGCGUAAAGCGUCUGUAGGUGGUUUAAUAAGUCAACUGUUAAAUCUUGAAGCUCAACUUCAAAAUCGCAGUCGAAACUAUAAGACUAGAGUUAUAGUAGA